UGGGGAGAGGAAAACUAGAAAGAUGAAAAAUUCUUUUUUGGAGAGAAAGUACUGUAAUGAAUUAGGGGCACUUUCAUAUCAUGAGGACUAAAAGCUAAACUCUUAUUAAAAAUGGACUGGAAGUUAUAAAAAUAGUCAAUAGGACUUAAAAAUUUAAGUCCGGUCUACUAAUGGAUUGGGUAUUAAAAACCUCCUAAAAUUAAUCAUCCUGUCCUUCAAUUCUAUCAUCAAUGCAUAGGACCCUAGAUACUAUAUUGCAAGAUGUAGAGAGCUUUGUAAGGAGAAUCCACUUGAAUGGUGAGUGGUAGAUGCUGGAUUCGGUGAGGAUUUGUUUGAGUAGAAAUAGUCAUAAUCAUAUACAGGAUGGCAAACAGAAAGUAUGUACCAUCUAGGGUUAUGUAAAAAAUUAGUCGGAUCACAAAUUUGGUCCAAAUUAGUUUCUAUGAUUCUGUUCAAAUCAUUUUUUUAAUAAUUUAGUUUGAUGUCAGUUUGAAAAAAUCUUGAGCUGAAAAAGUUGGAUUUGGUUUUUGUUUAAAUUUUUAAAAAAUUGAUUCAAAAUGAUCUAACCUGAAUGGAUUUAAACCAAUCCGAUGUGACU
rnacentral:lncRNA from 1 species